GAAAAUUAUUUUUAUCAAUUAACAGCAGAAAAAGAUUCGAAAAAAACAGAAACAAAUUUUAUCUUAAUUAAAAUGUUGCGUCAUUUUGGAUUUCUUUUACAUUAGAAUAUAUGUAUAUUUAGCGAAUAGAUACGUCUAUGCGUAUAUAUAAGACGAUAAUAUUGUACAUAAAAAAAGGGCAUGAUAUAACACUAAUCUAAAAUCCAUAUAAUCUCUUCGAAUGAACCACCUUUCGUCCAUGACACAGAUUUAAGGUAAAAAAAAAAAGAUGUAACAUAAAAAGUCUGAAGUUUCCGAGCAAGAAAUCGUAUUUCUUUAUUGAAUUAUUCUUUCUAUGUAGGUAACUCAAUGAAUCAUCUGCAUGUACGUUUCUAUUCUUUUUCAUUGUUCAUCGAUUAUCAUAGUGAUUUCUAUUGUCGAUAGGGUAUACUCGAUUGAACAAUGAAUUGCUUUUACAUCGUUCAAGAAUCGUUGGAUAUUUCGUAACGAGUCCUUUCUUCACGCACCAAGGUGAACCUCUUUGACCGCGUUUUUUCCUUUCUUUCUUUUUCUUGUUUGUUUCUUUUUUUCCCUUUCUUUUCUUUUAUUAUUCUUUCGUUUUUAAAGAGAGGAAGAAAAGUUUCUUCCUAACGUAAAUUUUCGAACGAUAUAAAAUCGAUGAUAUUUCACUCACCCACAUCGCGAUAUCCAAGUUAAAGAAGAAGACGCCGAUCUUGACAGUAACAAAAAUCGAGACAAUAUUUGAAUGAAAAGUUAUAUCGUGGGGAGUUAUAUACCACGGAAGCGGUCGAAAUAAAACGAUAAAUCAAAAUAAUAUUUUGUUAUACCUCAAUGCAUCCCAAUGCAUUUUUGAUACUCUUAAACCUGGGAAAGUGAAAAGAGAUACAAUAAAUCCACACCAUAGAGCAAGGAAGAACUUCACAACAAUUUUUGAUGCAGGACCCCUACAAUAUAAAUUCGUUAGAUCAAAUAUGCAGAUUCCUCUUGUUUAAUAGUACUAUGCAAAAGCAGUAUGUCUCCUUGGGCAUCCAAAUACUACUGGCUUACGUAGAAGAAAGGCCUUGAUUGUCUAAAAACAAGGAGGCGCUGUGGUUAAAGCUCGUAUAUGCUUUCUCCAGUCCAAUCUCAAGAGUUUUUUCAUCUAUAAUUAGCACAAUCAUAGCUAUUAGAAGAUAUGUAAAUCCAGAAACAAUGCACGUAGAUCUUUCACCAACACUUUCUUCUCCCUUGAAAUAUCGUAUCCAAAAUGAAAGUAAUACCUUACUAUGAUUUAUUUAAGAAAGGUAAACCAGCAAGGAUUCUAAGUUGCUGGUCCGUUGGAUGUAAAUAUCGAACCAAUCUGCGAAUGCAAAAAAAUAUCAAUGUUCCAAGAAAAUUCUUGUUUAUUUUUGGGCUUACCCGGUGGAACAUAACAUCCAUCUUGCUAAUGAAAAAUGUGGAGUUAAUUUUUGAAUGACACUGACCAUAAUAAUAGUAAUAGCGAGUUGUGCACCUAACAGAGCCUACAAAUUAACAUACAAUAUAUUUUCAGUUACAUAUACAUCGUUUUUAUAAAUGUAAAGGAAUUUGUUUACAGUCAGCAAUACAUAGUAGUUUUUCUUAUCAGAAAAUGAUGGCUAACAAAUGCAAAAAAAAAAAGAAUAUGUAAUCGUUGCAUGAAAUUUACCAUGUUUAUUGUAAUAAUUCCUAAAUAUAACUAAUUCAUAAAUUUCACAAGAAUGAUUGUCUCGUGGCACGAGUAAUGUUUUUAUUCGACGAAAUAAGUAAAUCCUGAAAGAACAAUGUUGAAUUAUUUUCAAUUUAAAGCCGAUAAAGUAUAUUACACCAGUUUAAAUAGCACGCACAGUCAACCAGCUAACUUUAUAAAUAGUUAUAAGCUGAUGAACACAUAAUGCCAAACGCAUUGGGUUCUUCGAAUGUCAUAUACGAGGUUAUUCCAAAUUAUAUCCUAUCUACAAGCAAAAGAGAGAGAAAGAAAAACAUUUUAAAAUGUCGGUAUCGGCAGUAGUGACCUCUAUUAAGUAUCUUAGAAAACAUCUAUUAAAAAAAUCAUACUCUAUCGAUAUCCAAUUUGAAUACGAAUUUUAUAUUCGAUCUAGACUGAAAUAGAUCACCUAGAUCUUAUUUUUUUAGACAUAACAUUUAUUUUUGGAAUGAAUUUACGAUCACGUAUUUUAUCGAGAAAGAUAUAAUAGAAUGAUAUUUCCAAAGUUAUACGUUUAAAAAGAAAUGGAACGUAUCGUAACUCUUUUUAGCAAAAUUGUACUUAAAAAUUCUCCAAAUUUUAAUAGUAAUACAAUUACUUUCAAUGUUUUUUGUCAACACAUCUAUUAAAACCAUUUGCGUAAUACCCGCAGACAAAUAAAUGAGAACUUUAUAAUAAACCAUACCAAUGGUGGUAUGAAGAUAAAGUAAGCGUUAGAAAUGAAAUAAUCGGGGAUGUUGAAACACUUAAUAGCUUUGUCAUGGAUGAUUAAAUUUACACUUGAACGGUUCAGGCUGAAUUCUCGAGAAAUGAAAAAUAUUUUACAUAAAUUUAAAAAUAAUCAAUCGAUCAUUCUGGUUUAAGUGAAUAAUACGCGGAAAUAUCUUGGAAUUGAUGUAGUAAUAUUA